rnacentral:lncRNA from 1 species
CCAAAUACAGUUUAUUCCAAAUAGAUGUUUCUAGUUGUUUCAUCAAAAUGAUAUUCUUUAUGCUCCACCCAUUUCCAGCCCUCAGAAAAGUCCACUUGAAAUAUGGAUUUUCAAGUCAAAUCUUGUCAGUCAGCUCCUCUCCAGCUCGAACCCAGAAGGAACUGGCCAACUGAUCCAUCCUUGGUUUGCAAAUGAGAGAGAUGCAGCUGCAGGUGAGAAAGCACAC